UUAGCGUGCCUGUGAACACUAUACAAAGCACUAAAAGAUGUUUACCGCUCUGUCUACAGCUCUUUGUUCCACCAUCUACCAUGAGGCCGAAAGCUUAACGUACCGUAAUUACAAGUCCUGUGACUCAGAAGACACCAUCAAAGCCUGAGUCUGAGUGGCCAGAAUGUGCAGAAUGUGUCUGUUGACGACAACUGCAGGUGACACGAGAGACAAUACCGAUGCACAAACAGCGUGGAAAGGUCAACCUGCGGUCAGCCUCCAGAACUAUACGACCCCAGAGUUCACAGGUCACCAAGUCCUGAGGAUGGCAGAUGAGAUGCUCUAAGGUGUAACAUCAUUACGAGCUGACUUGAUUGAGGCCAGUCGCAGAACAAGAGAGAUGAAGGAAGGGCAGGGAAGCAGUUAAUACAAAACAAAUGAAGGAAAUGGAUUAAAUCUUGCUGUUUUAUUAAAUCUGAAAUUCAAAU
ensembl:lncRNA